UACAGAGGGGGCAAGCGUUAUUCGGAAUUAUUGGGCGUAAAGGGCGCGUAGGCGGCCUGGCAAGUGGAAGGUGAAAUCCCUCGGCUUAACCGAGGAACUGCCCUCCAAACUGCUUCGCUUGAGACCGGGAGAGGUGAGUGGAAUUCCCAGUGUAGCGGUGAAAUGCGUAGAUAUUGGGAGGAACACCAGUGGCGAAGGCGGCUCACUGGACCGGUACUGACGCUGAUGCGCGAAAGCCAGGGGAGCGAACGGG
rnacentral:rRNA from 1 species